rnacentral:lncRNA from 1 species
UUGGUUUAGGGUUUAGUUUAGGAUUUAAGAUUUGGUCUAGGAUUUGGUUUAGGAUUUAGGAUUUUAUUAAGAUUUAAGUUUUAAUUAGUUUUGGCCUAAAGGCUGAAUGAAGUUUAAUAGGAUUUUAACUAGAAUUAAAUUAAGAUUGAAUUGAGAUUUAUUUGAGUGAUAUUUGUGAUCAUUUUAAUAUUUCUUUAAGAAUUCUUAUUGUUUGUUUGAAAUUUCUUUGAGGUUUUUUUUGAAGCUUGCUUAGCAUUAUUAUGGUUUAAUUAGAGUUUAGUUAGUAUUCUAUUAU